rnacentral:rRNA from 1 species
CGGACGGGUGAGUAACGCGUGGGUAACCUGCCUUGUACUGGGGGACAACAGUUGGAAACGACUGCUAAUACCGCAUAAGCGCACAGCUUCGCAUGAAGCAGUGUGAAAAACUCCGGUGGUACAAGAUGGACCCGCGUCUGAUUAGCUGGUUGGUGAGGUAACGGCCACCAAGGCGACGAUCAGUAGCCGGCCUGAGAGGGUGAACGGCCACAUUGGGACUGAGACACGGCCCAAACUCCUACGGGAGGCAGCAUG